AAAAGCCCAAACAACUCUUUGAAUAAAUACAAAAUAAAAAUUGUCAUAAGAAUGCCUCAUGUCCUACUUUAACUGGCAAUCUCUUUUAAAAUAAAUAACACGUAAAACAAUACAAUACAUUUGUAAGUGUCUUACAAAAAGAAUUCAGGCUGAUAUGCUCAUGUUUCUUUGAGAGUUUCUUGUGUCAGCUUGGCUAGGCUAUGGUGCAUGGCUGUUUGGUCAAACACUGGUCUGGAUAUUGCAGUUGGAUAUUGUAGUUGUGAUUAACAUUUAUAGUCAGUGGACUGUAAAGAAAUAAAACAGAUUAUCUUCCAUAAUGUAGGGUGGGGACCUCAUCCAGUCGGUUGAAGGCCUUAGGAACAAAACCUGGGGUUUCUUGAAGAAGGAGGGAUUCAACCCUUACCUAAAUUUCCAGCCUACUGGCCUGCCCUACGGAUGUCAGACUUACAACUCCCUACAAUGGCUUGAGCCAAUUCCUUAAAAUAGUUCUGUUUCUCCAGUAACCCCUACUAUAAUCUUUUUAAAUAGGUUGGUUAGAAUUGAGCAGUGUGACCCAUGUAAAACAAGGUUAUAUUUAGAUAUAUCCCGCUUUUUUUAAUGCAGACUAUUUUUUGCACCAGCUUUCUAGGUGGCUGGUUGCCACCUACGUAGUGAUGCUCACGGUCGACUCGGCCUUUUCCCUGUGCUCACGUGACUGGCUUUUGCAGCCCCAAGUGCAGGACCUUAUAUCCACCCCUAGUAAUUUCCUUUUCACGAAAUGUGGUCGAUUACUUUGGCCAUCCUUCACUACUCAGGGGUACAUCCUCUGGCACCACCUUCCUGUCUGUGGCAACCGUGGUACCUGGAAGGACCCAGGUGUGUGCCCCUGCAGGUUCAGGUGAUGAGAUGCCACUGAUGUCGUCACUACCAGGCAUGGAGCAGUCACCUCGGGCCCUUGCAAUGCAGCCCAGGGUCUCCGGAGUCAGUGGCUCUGGGCUUGGGCCGCACAUGGGCAGUGACAGGAUUAAUAGUUCUUCCAGCACAAUCCAUCAUCCCUCAACAAUGCAUUUCUGGCAGUUAAUUAGAAGCCACACAGUGGAAUAACGAAUGCCGUGUUUAGAAUUACAAUCUGUUGCUAAACCACAGAUCAGACAGCCCAUUGCUGCCCGUAACCCUGGAUGUCUUGAGUGUCUGCCCCCCAGGCCUGUUGAACCCUCUUUAGUGACUCACCUGCAGAGUGGUCUGGAUGGAUUAAUCCCUUCUGAGGCUGGGACGCUACCUGGGCAGGGGCAGGAGCUAAAGGAAGGGGGAAGCGGACUCAGCUCCUGGAGAAGGAAAACUGCUGGUGCCUACAGCGGAAAACCAGUGUUUUCCCUGGUAUCCAACGCUCUGACAGGAGGCCACUUGCCACGCUCCUGUUUGGGGGCACACCAGGUCCCCUGUGUUUCCUCACACGGUGGGACACCCUCAGGGCCUCUCCGUACUCUGAGGUGGUUCCCGGGGAGACUCCAAGAUUAGAACCCAUCUCCACAGCAUUGAUUCACCCUGACUGCUACUCGCUGUGGAAAUUCAGCUUCCUCAUCUAUAGAAGGGGCGGGAACCACUGCAUAUUUCUUCGGUUGUUAGAAGGGAUAAAUAAUGUAAUCAUUUAAAGUCCUUGGAUAAUUGCAUAGGGUAUCCUGUGUUAUACACAGUGCGUGAUCAGUAAAUUUGUUCUGUGUGUCUGUGUGAGAGAGAGAGAGAGAGAGAGAGACACACACACACACACACACACACACACAGAGUUCACUUUUGUGGUCACUCACUUUUAUCUGUCAUUUCCCCACCACAGGCGGGAGCUGCAUGCUUGGGGACAGGGCACCUUCCUCUCAUGGCUUGGGUGUUGUGGGACGUGUUCCCAGAUUCUAUUCUAGUUGACAGAGCCCUUUGCCGGCCUGAGGACAGCAUGUCUCUGCAUAAGUUUAAGAAUAGGUAAGAGAAAACCAGAGUUUAUUUUGUUCUAACCGUUCAGACUUGGCAGCAGGGUUGCGAGGAGGGUUGUGGUGCGCUACUAAAUGCUUAUAGCCCGGCAGGGAAGAAAAGCCUUGGUAUAGAGAUGCUGGUUUCUGUGGUGUAAAUACUCUCACUACGGCUGACGUUGAGAUCUUGGAGUUGGGAUGGGCACAAACGGCUCUUCUGAGCGGGUCUGGGCUUCUCCUCAUGCGCUGGGGAGGGUGGAUGCAGGGCCAGCUGGCCGCACAGUGGUCCUGCCAGACUCACCACAAGCCCUGUUUGUGGAGGGAAGGAUUCACCGGCCCUUCCCGAUUCACCGGACCAGGGUCUGACCCAGAGAAGCCUGCUGAGCGGACAGGGCUCCGUUCCCGGCUCUGCCUCUGCCAGGCAGGAGGAAGACACACUUGAAUGACUCACAGUUGCAAUGUCUUGCUACGACUUUAUGAAUAAAUUGGGUGCUUUGCAGAGAGAUCACUGUAUCUCCGAUGCAAAUCCCCAGAAGACAAUAAAUAUAGAUUCUUUUGUCGUAAUCACAGCGGCAUCUUGAUCUGCCUGCGGUGAUUAAAGUGUAACCAAACUGCCAUUUAAUUUCAUUCCAGGCCAUUUCAAAUUGUGUUGUGUUAAGCUAUCCUGAUGCAGAGAUGCUCCCUGCAGCUCCGGGCCUGUGAGACUCCAAACUGAAGAUCGUGGCUUCUGCUGAGGGAUAUGCGUAGGUUGUAUGUGAACGUCAACAACCUCCAUCUCCUGUCUUCGGCUCUCUCCACAGAGGCCAUUUUUGGUCUACAGUUUGGAGGCCUCCUCCCUCCUCCUGUCUACAGAUGAGGAAGUUCAAACAGCAGUUCAGAGAAGCCCAAGCCCUCGCCAGUUCUGCUGAGCGUCUGCUCAAUAACUGUUUUUAGGAAGGUCCCGUGGCUUUGCCCCCAAUGGCUGCUUCUGUGAACAGGACUCUGUGGGACACAGCCGAGCUUCUGCAUAGACCACCUCAGCACCGCGAGUCUCAUCCGUGCCCGAGGGAGAAAGGCAGAGGCCUCUGGGCAGAAGGGAAUUUUAGGUUUGAGCUAGGAGGGAUGCAGAAAGGAAAGCAGGGGAGGAGGCUACCAGAGCAGCUGGUGAGGGCGAGCCCGUGACCUCUUCCAGCAAAUUGGUGGGGCUGGCCUGUGAGCGCUGCUGUAGCUGCAGUGGCAGCCAAGCAGAUUAAUCUGAUUUCCUGGCAGUGAUGCAUCCAAAGUCACGAGGCCGCAGCUGCACGGCGGCUCUGGCCAGCACUGUGCCGGGGGUGUUGGGAAGGGGGCCCCAGUUAACGUGUGUGUGUCUACAGGUUGACUCAACAUAAUUGUGAGCCCCCAGGAACAUCUUUCCACGCUGUUGGCACUGGGAGGAGACGGAAAUGUGCCUGUGGUCUAGGAGGCAGGAGAGUGCAAUGGGCUGGGAGGUGGAGGUGGGCUGGGGUGCUCCUGGGCUGUUACAAGCUUCUGUUUGUCCAUUCAGAAGAGGUUACUUUUGAUUAUGCAAGGUCCUUACAUAUCUGUGAUCCCAUAAUAUUUAGCCUGGGCCCCGAGGCUCCCAAAAUAGGGAUCCAGGAAAGAGGGUGGUUAAUAAACAGGGAAGCACAUCUUUUGAA